UAUGAAAAGAGGAGGAGAGGAGAGGAGAGAGAGAGGAAGGCAGAUGAAGAGAGAGUAUAACUUUGGGGGAUCACAGGAAGAGGCAGCACAGGAAGAAACUUUUGGCUGCUUUCUUUUGGCCUUUUUCUACAUGUUACCGGAAUCUGUGUUGACAGCCUGAAGAAAAUGCGCCAUUGUGUCAACUCCUCCUCCUUUAUCUAACUACUGGCUUAGUAUUGGAGUUUGGAAGAAGACAAGGAGUAAAAAGCCUUUCCAAAGUGGGCUCACACCUGUUUUCCCUGAGGAUUCCCUGGAGCGCCACCAUGGGCUCUGGUGCUUGAGGGAAUCUUUGCAUCUGUUGUUAUUUGGAAGGGCUAGGAGCUGUAGGAGGGAGAUGUCAUCCUACUUCACUCGCACCAAAGACCUGACUCGUACCAGGAGGUCACUCACUGACUCACCGCCACCCUCUCCAUCCCCUACUGACAAAAGCUUCAGACAUGACAGACUUUCAAGAUAUGACUCCAGUGGAGAUAAUGUAGCUGACAAAUUGGGCCGGACCAGCUCCUACACCCGCAGAGAGACCAGACUGGCCUCUCUGAAUAAGCAGGAGCAAGACACCACAAGCAAAGACUACAAGAAGCUGUACGCAGAAGCGCUACAGGAGAAUGAGCGUCUCAAGUCCAGGUUGCAGGACAGCAAACAGGAACUUGUCAACAUUCGUACCCAGUUGGAGAAAGUAACUCAGAGGCAAGACAGGAUAUCGGAGAAAUCUACUCAGCUUGAAGCAGAGAAAAGGGAGAAACAAGCCCUUGAGAAAAGGGUGUCAGGCAUGGAAGACGAGAUGAAGACUUUCCCUGCUCUGGCUCAGGUCCAGGCCUUGCGGAGCGUCAACGACCGUCUCCUGGCUGAGAACAGAGCCUUGCUGCGUGCUCUCUCCCGCCUCUCGGAGACGGCCUCCAUGCCGGAGACAGAGGACCUAUGAAUUCACCUGUUCUCCUCUCACGCCUCCUCCUCAUGUCCCCUUCCUCUGCAACAUAACCCUCCUUCAGGCACCUCCUCAGCCCCCUCAUCCUCUACUGUGCUCCUCUCAGGUCUUAACAGAGCUCAAGACGGACAACCAGAGGCUAAAGGACGAGAACGGUGCUCUCAUUCGGGUCAUCAGCAAACUGUCUAAAUGAAAGAACGUUCUGGUUUGCUGAUAUUCAUGAUGCGGUCACACUUACUACUUCCUGUCAGGUGUAUCCAAAGAACUGUUGCGUAUGGAUUUCAGGAGUUGCAGUAUAAUAAACAAUGAUUAGCCAUUGUUUUCUUUCAGGGACCACACAUGCAGUUUAGUUGAUAUUCCAAAGCCCCUGAUAUCUUGCUUGCUUUUUAAGUAGGGAUUACAUAACGAUACCAUGACUACUAUGACAUUAUAUUUGUCCGUAGUACUAUUUAACCAAUACGAACCCAUGCUGACCAACACCUAAGUGUCCUAAAAUACAGUUUUUGCUUGACUUUAACUAAGUCUCUAUGUGACACAGGCAAAACAUUUUGACGUGCUUGUCAUGUGGCAGUCAUGUGACUAUCCCUGGAUAUAGCUUCCACAAAAUGGCAGUGUGUCGGGUCAACACAUGUAAUUUGCUCCAGCUUAUUUUUCGCCAUUAAAAGUAAUUUUAGACCCAUUUAACAAUUCCAAUGCUUAGUGUGUCAAAUAAUUACCGCAACUGUAAUGAUUAAAAAACUGUCGGGGUUAGUACUACUGAAAGGCCAUGACAGGAUGACUGUUGGUACAAGUGUUUUGUAAGAAUAUUGUUUUACAAUUCAACGGGAAACACAAUUAUUUAGCAUGCCAUCGCACACGGUGAGUGCAGUACCUCAACGAAAGCAUGUCAUAAUCGCUGCAGUUUGGAAAGGUUUCAUGUUUGAUGGACUAUUUCCAGAACUUCCAAUGUGUUUCACUCUGCCGUCCUUUGAGAGAUACACUGACGUGUGAAAUAAAGUGUCCUACGAUGUUUAUUUAAGCAUUUAUUCGUUAUUGUCAAAGGAACACACCGGUUAUUCUGACUUGUUUGUCUGAGUUCUUUGAUGUUUUUACAUAUGUAGCUCAAUGCUAAGUGACACUUUAGGCUGGUAGCGUUUGCACUACAGUAUUUGCUAAACUAUGAUAAGUCAAGACAGUCUAAGCAUUUUUACACUUAUGUUGGUGUCUUCCACAAUGUUUCUAACAUUGAAGACUUUCUUCAAAACCUUUAUUUAGCCUGCUGUUUUAAUGAUAUAAGAAUAUUACGGCCGCCACACAAACUGGAGAGAUGAAAAGAGUAUUUUGUCUUGAGCUAAUGCUAACAUUUUGUUGUUUCUGAAGAGGUUGCUCACUCAGAUUCCUUUUCAUUCAUGAUUUUGCUGUGUUGCUUUUUAGUUAUUUGACAUGAAAAUGAUACACUACUUACCCUUUUGGGGCUCCUCAUAUAGAGCAGCAUUAGGUGUAUCUGGUUGUCAAAUGGGCUAACAUUAGCCUGGAAGAUAAAUGGAGAGCCACACUUUGUUAGCCCUUAGCCUGAUUAGCAGUCCAGUCUGCUAGCUCCAUUAGCAUCUUUCAACCUUUUGUUAUUAAUUUGUUUCCAUUCAAGUCAGUGUUGCCAGAUGGGAAACGACAAGUUAUCGUACCAGAUGCUUAAAAUCAUUUGACAUUGCUCAGCACCAUGUCAAGUCACAGACCAUAUAAAGUAGGGGUGUCCAAAGUGCAGCCCAGGGGCCAUUUGCGGCCCACGGCGCAUUCUAAAAAUAUAAUUUCACAAGAGAUGAGAAAAAAAAGCAAAAUUGGACAAAUCUGCAGUAAUUUUACAAGAAUAAAUAAAAAAUAUGAAGACAAAAAUUUGUAAUUUAACAAGAACAAGUUGUCAAUUUACAAGAGUAAAGUUGUAAUAUUAUGAGGAAAAAUGACGUAAGUUUAGUAGUAAAAAGUUGAAAUAUUAAAGAAAAAACAUUUUUUUGAAGUCAUAAUAUUAUGAGUAAGAAACAAAACAACAAAUAAUGUAAUUUUUGGAAAAUUAGUUUGCGGAAAAAGUUAUAAUAUUACGAGAAUAAAGUCAAAUUAUUAUGGGAAUAACGCCAUAAUUAGGAGAAGAAAAUUUACAAGAAGAAAGUGGAAAUAGUUGGAGGAUUUAAAAAAACAACCACAGCAAAAAUGGAAAAGCAGCUGUAAUUUUUACGAGAAUAAAGUCACUACAUUAAGAGAAAAAAGUAAUGUUAGGAGGACAAGUUGUGUCAUUUUAGUCGCAUGCAGUUGAAAUAUUACAGCAAAAAUGUUAUGUUUUAAAAGUCGGAAUAUUAUGACAAACAAAUCAAAAUUUUAAUUUUUGGUUGGGGGGAAAAAGUUAGAAUAUCAUGGGAAUAAAGCCAAAAUAUUAUGGGACUUGAGACGUAAUAUUUCGGAAAAAAAAUUUACAAAGAUUAUUUAAGAAGAAAGAAAGUCGAAAUGUCAAAAUAAUAGCUGAAAUAUAAAAAACAAGAGAGGCACGGAGGACUUUGAAUAUUAGUGCAGACCUGCCAGCAUGUAUGAAUUUGUCACACUGCUUGUAUGCUUCACUGCUCUCCCAUCUUGUUGCGUUUCGCUGGUUUCAGUUUCGAGUUCAGUCUUUACAGUACAGAAAAAUAGAUAUGAUCAAUUUCUCAACAGUAUUUCAAUCGGGGGGGAUGGGGCGCAAAAACAUUUUUUGUCCCACAGUGGGGGCAUGACAUGAAAAUAAUUGAGAAGCACUGAAAUAAACCAACAGCACUGUUGGAAGAAAGAACAGAACAGUGCCCCUAUCUGGCGGGAAAGAGGUACUUAAGGCAAUACACAACAUCAGACACACAGCCAUGUAUCCAAGGGGUCAAAUGAUCGUACAUUACGGGAUUUUUCAAAUUAUUUCGAUCGCAAAAUGAUCGUACAUCUGGCAACGCUGAUUCUAGUACAUAAAUAAUUUCUGGAAGUGUCUACUGGUGUGUCUGUUUUGCGGCCAUGGUCAGCAUGCUAGCCGUUCUGCAAGUUGAUGGCUACAUCCUGUCGAGUAUGACGUACUUUCUAUUUGAACAUGUUGGUGUGUCCACGUUGUGCAUUAAACUCUAACGUUACGAACCAUCUGUUGUUUGUCAGCGUGACGCAAAGUGAGUAAUAGCAGCCACCCAGCACCAUCACACAACACAUUGGACACAAAACCAUCACGGUAAUUAAAAGUUCUUUAUUUCCUAUUUGUUUUUUUGUACAGAACUGGUAACACAUAUGAUAAAUUUGUAAUAAGUUAUUUGGCUCCCUUGAUAACGUUAUAAGGAUCCCCAACAUUUGUCCACAUAAGGGUCAAGAGGAGUUUGUGAGCAACGUUUGUGUCCAGUCAAGGGCUAAAGCAUGCGAUCCACAGUAGGCACAAGUACUGACAUGAACACGCGCACCACGACACGAGACACAAAGAACACAGCUAGAGGACACAACCUGACCGUCCUUUGAUCCAAUGCUUUCCAAGAGGAUGGAGAAGAGAAAGUAAAUGAAACGGGGGGGGGAAGGAGUCUUGAGAACAGCUGGAGCGAACGGUUGAAAAGUAGGAUCAGGUACAGGAAUUUGGCAGUUUACACUAAGUCCAUGUUGUAAACAUGAAGGCCAGCGUUCUUUAUGCACAGCAAAAGCAGAAUUCGGGGAGGAGGGACUCCAUGCGCCAGAUGAAAGACUCCGAUGACACAUAAAACGAACAAAGACACAAAUAUAAAGCCGACAUUUAGGGAGACAAAUGCCCGCCGUUGAUGCACACAGAGACGCUACAUGUGAAGAAUACACCACAAAAACAAAA